rnacentral:rRNA from 1 species
UACGUAGGGUGCAAGCGUUGUCCGGAAUUAUUGGGCGUAAAGAGCUCGUAGGCGGUUUGUCGCGUCUGCUGUGAAAACUCGGGGCUUAACUCCGGGCCUGCAGUGGGUACGGGCAGACUAGAGUUCGGCAGGGGAGACUGGAAUUCCUGGUGUAGCGGUGAAAUGCGCAGAUAUCAGGAGGAACACCGGUGGCGAAGGCGGGUCUCUGGGCCGAUACUGACGCUGAGGAGCGAAAGCGUGGGGAGCAAACAGG